rnacentral:rRNA from 1 species
ACCGAACCGACUAAUGUUGAAAAAUUAGCGGAUGACCUGUGGCUGGGGGUGAAAGGCCAAUCAAACCGGGAGAUAGCUGGUUCUCCCCGAAAGCUAUUUAGGUAGCGCCUCGUGAAUUCAUCUCCGGGGGUAGAGCACUGUUUCGGCUAGGGGGCCAUCCCGGCUUACCAACCCGAUGCAAACUGCGAAUACCGGAGAAUGUUAUCACGGGAGACACACGGCGGGUGCUAACGUCCGUCGUGAAGAGGGAAACAACCCAGACCGCCAGCUAAGGUCCCAAAGUCAUGGUUAAGUGGGAAACGAUGUGGGAAGGCCCAGACAGCCAGGAUGUUGGCUUAGAAGCAGCCAUCAUUUAAAGAAAGCGUAAUAGCUCACUGGUCGAGUCGGCCUGCGCGGAAGAUGUAACGGGGCUAAACCAUGCACCGAAGCUGCGGCAGCGACACUCAGGUGUUGUUGGGUAGGGGAGCGUUCUGUAAGCCUGUGAAGGUGGCCUGUGAGGGUUGCUGGAGGUAUCAGAAGUGCGAAUGCUGACAUAAGUAACGAUAAAGCGGGUGAAAAGCCCGCUCGCCGGAAGACCAAGGGUUCCUGUCCAACGUUAAUCGGGGCAGGGUGAGUCGACCCCUAAGGCGAGGCCGAAAGGCGUAGUCGAUGGGAAACGGGUUAAUAUUCCCGUACUUGGUGUUACUGCGAAGGGGGGACGGAGAAGGCUAUGUUGGCCGGGCGACGGUUGUCCCGGUUUAAGCGUGUAGGUGUGUGUUCCAGGUAAAUCCGGUUCACUUUAACACUGAGGCGUGAUGACGAGGCGCUACGGUGCUGAAGCAACAAAUGCCCUGCUUCCAGGAAAAGCCUCUAAGCAUCAGGUAACAUCAAAUCGUACCCCAAACCGACACAGGUGGUCAGGUAGAGAAUACCAAGGCGCUUGAGAGAACUCGGGUGAAGGAACUAGGCAAAAUGGUGCCGUAACUUCGGGAGAAGGCACGCUGACACGUAGGUGAAGUGAUUUACUCAUGGAGCUGAAGUCAGUCGAAGAUACCAGCUGGCUGCAACUGUUUAUUAAAAACACAGCACUGUGCAAACACGAAAGUGGACGUAUACGGUGUGACGCCUGCCCGGUGCCGGAAGGUUAAUUGAUGGGGUCAGCGCAAGCGAAGCUCCUGAUCGAAGCCCCGGUAAACGGCGGCCGUAACUAUAACGGUCCUAAGGUAGCGAAAUUCCUUGUCGGGUAAGUUCCGACCUGCACGAAUGGCGUAAUGAUGGCCAGGCUGUCUCCACCCGAGACUCAGUGAAAUUGAACUCGCUGUGAAGAUGCAGUGUACCCGCGGCAAGACGGAAAGACCCCGUGAACCUUUACUAUAGCUUGACACUGAACAUUGAGCCUUGAUGUGUAGGAUAGGUGGGAGGCUUUGAAGUGUGGACGCCAGUCUGCAUGGAGCCGACCUUGAAAUACCACCCUUUAAUGUUUGAUGUUCUAACGUGGACCCGUGAUCCGGGUUGCGGACAGUGUCUGGUGGGUAGUUUGACUGGGGCGGUCUCCUCCUAAAGAGUAACGGAGGAGCACGAAGGUUGGCUAAUCCUGGUCGGACAUCAGGAGGUUAGUGCAAUGGCAUAAGCCAGCUUGACUGCGAGCGUGACGGCGCGAGCAGGUGCGAAAGCAGGUCAUAGUGAUCCGGUGGUUCUGAAUGGAAGGGCCAUCGCUCAACGGAUAAAAGGUACUCCGGGGAUAACAGGCUGAUACCGCCCAAGAGUUCAUAUCGACGGCGGUGUUUGGCACCUCGAUGUCGGCUCAUCACAUCCUGGGGCUGAAGUAGGUCCCAAGGGUAUGGCUGUUCGCCAUUUAAAGUGGUACGCGAGCUGGGUUUAGAACGUCGUGAGACAGUUCGGUCCCUAUCUGCCGUGGGCGCUGGAGAACUGAGGGGGGCUGCUCCUAGUACGAGAGGACCGGAGUGGACGCAUCACUGGUGUUCGGGUUGUCAUGCCAAUGGCACUGCCCGGUAGCUAAAUGCGGAAGAGAUAAGUGCUGAAAGCAUCUAAGCACGAAACUUGCCCCGAGAUGAGUUCUCCCUGAGACUUAAAGUCUCCUGAAGGAACGUUGAAGACGACGACGUUGAUAGGCCGGGUGUGUAAGCGCAGCGAUGCGUUGAGCUAACCGGUACUAAUGAACCGUGAGGCUUAACCUUACAACGCCGAAG